rnacentral:rRNA from 1 species
UACGAAGGGGGCUAGCGUUGCUCGGAAUUACUGGGCGUAAAGCGCACGUAGGCGGCCUUCUAAGUCAGACGUGAAAUCCCCAGGCUUAACUUGGGAACUGCGUCUGAUACUGGGAGGCUUGAGUGCGGGAGAGGGAUGUGGAAUUCCAGGUGUAGCGGUGAAAUGCGUAGAUAUCUGGAGGAACACCGGUGGCGAAGGCGGCAUCCUGGACCGACACUGACGCUGAGGCGCGAAAGCUAGGGGAGCAAACGGG